rnacentral:lncRNA from 1 species
GUGGCUGUAGCAACCGUGGCAACUGCUGCAACGGAUAUGAUUGCCUGUGAGCCCGAUGAAUAUCUGGUUGAAAACUACUGCUGUAGAUUCUGCCCAGCGGGCCACUUCGUCAGCGGGCUGUGUUCACAGAACCACAGCAUUGGAGAGUGCGAGCCGUGCAGGCCUGGGACGUUCAUGGCCUACCCCAGCAGUGAGGCGUCCUGCUCCCCGUGCAGCCCCUGCCGGCCCGGUGCCCCAAGGACAAGGUCACCCGCAGGCUGUGCACUCCCACCAGGAACACAGAGUGUGCCCGACCCCACGACAGGUAAGGCCGCAUGGGGUGUGAGUCCCUGGGGCGGGGCUUUUCUGGAAAGGGUCAGCGGCUUGGGGCUUUGCCCUGCUCUGUCACUCAGCUCUGCCGUUGUCGUAAAAAGCAGCUGGACAUCGCAGAAACAAGAAGCGGCGGAAUCUCCACACAAAAAACCCACUUGUCCACGGCGCGUGU